rnacentral:snRNA from 1 species
GUGCUCGCUUCGGCAGCACAUAUACUAAAAUUGGAACGACACAGAGAAGAUUAGCGUGGCCCCUGCACAAGGAUGACACACAAAUUCAUGAAGCGUUCCAUAUUAAA